UUGUCAUACAAAAUUUUCAGAACUAAUCAUUUUGAAGAUUUUGCUCUACUAAAUUUGAGAAGUGCGUGCAGUCCUAUUUAUCUUGCCAUUCCAAAAAGUAACCUGCUUUCAGUCAUCGAACAGAAUCCAUUGCCAUUAGCAAACUGGAAUCAAACAAGUUAUGCAGUCUCUUUUGUUAGAGAAAAAAGAAUAACAUGCUCGUUACAUUUCUCAAUGCUUGGAGUAUUCUCCACAAAGUAAUAAGCCAACCAUGAUUGCUAGCAAAAAUCCUACUUCUGCCUACACUCACCAGUAAAGAAGCAUCUCCAGAGAAACCUUGCUGCUUAUGGACUGGAACUCCACAACUUUAAACUCUCCUUUCGUUAUCGUCCCGGUCUUGUCGAAUGCCACUACUCUUAUUUUGGCCAGGGCUUCAAGAACAUCACCCCCUUUGAUGAGGAGUCCUAUCCUUGCUGCUUUUAGAAGUGCACAAAAAGUUGCAACAGGUGUGGACAGCACCAGUGCACAAGGGCAUGCACUCACAAGAAGGACCAAUGCCAACUGGAACCAGAUUCUGGGAUUGUUUACUCUCAAUACCAGGGGAACUAACGCGACUCCUGCUGCUACGAUUACGACAGCUGCAUAGCAGACAGAGAGAGGGAUUGGUGUACCUGCAAUUAGCAGAAGGAUGUUGAUGUCCAGCGUAAGCCUCCGAAUGGCUGCAAUGCCUCUCAGAAUGAUCGGAUUUAUGCCGACAAGAACUGCUGCUAUCGCGAACCAUCUGAGCGGAUGGAAGAACCGCUUGAACAGUGAAACCACAAGUAGCACUCCACAAGCCAGUAUGUAGGGGCUUGGCCAUUUCUUGGUGAUCUCCGCAGAGCCAUAUGCUUGAACUGUAGCUUCAAGCCUUGCCUGGUUUAAUGCCUUGACUGAUGAAGCAAAACAAGCCAUCAGUUAUGGUCCUGUUUUGGAGAUGCAAUUUUAUGCAGAGCAUGAAAUGUUGUUGAUUAAAGGUGCAUAGAGAUCAGCUUAUGUGGUUCUGACUUCUGACAAUAACUUUCAGAAUUAAACUUGGGUCAGGUGGUAGGAUUGUUGAAAUCAUAGUCAGUUUCCAUAGAGCUGUUUUAGCAUCAUCAUAACUGUGAGCCACAAUUUGCAGGAGGAGGACGCUAGAUCUCAUGUCUCAAUCAGUCAACUGAAUGGUUUAUAGUAGUAUGGAAUGUUAAGAUGUUGAUGUCAUCAGAAUGCAGAGAUGAAUUCAUGCAGAGGCAAUGGUUUAAACUUACGUAUCUCAUGCUGCGAAAUGAGGAGGCUGUCAUGGACUACUAUGACUGUCUUUGAGGGAACGAUCACGGAGACCUUCUGAACUCCACUCAAAGGCUUCAAUAUCUUCUCAAUCAGGGGGACUUCAGACGAGCAGCAGAGGCCCAACACAUCAAAGUAGCUCUUUUGAUGCUUUGGUACCUUUCCUAUCCUGUCCUUGCUUGGUUCUCCCAUCCUUGGGGCCUCUCUUCGCCUGAAAUGAAGUUGUACGUAGCAUGAAACCCAUGCAAAUUGUGAUCCAACAAAGAAAAGGUUCCUACAGAUUUCAAUGCAUCUGGUCUGUGUUCCUUGCAAGCAGAUGUCAGGGGUUCUCCUUGCUGCUUUUUCUCUCGAAAAAAGGAAAGAAUGGUGAUAGAACGUCGAAGAUCAAGAGUACUCUCACCUCAACACUGGAGAGAGACUCUGUAUCAGGGAUUGAUGAGGGCUUAGUGGAGGAUGUAUGAGUUAAAAGCCUCUGUGUAUCAUCAGCUGGGGAAGGACUUAUCUCUUGUUCUUCAUGUUGGGUCUGGUAAAGAAUAAGAGUUGGCUUCCUGAAUGCAGCAUUCAGUGAGUGGCAGAAGCGGUGGUACUUGGCUUAUAUGAAGUGCCACAAGACAACAGGAACUGGGCAGGUGUCCAUGACAUCAUUGGCAAAGUAGAGAUCCUAUCUCAACACAUGAAAAAGAAUUGUUUAUCAAGAGAGAACAAGAAGGAUGUGUGAAAAGAGUGACUGGGGGCUCACUGGACAGAUUUAGCUUCCACAUUACACAUUCGGAACAAAAAGGCUGAUCCUCCACACACUGUUUUGAUGCAGGCAAACUGAACAAAGAAAAAAGAAAUCUGAAGUUUUAGUGUGGAAAUCUGCAACGCAUGAGAAGUUGAUUAGAUGUGCAUACACCAAGAGAAGUUUAAAGUAAAUACCUCUCAAGCACUCAGGAUCUCAGUGGCCAAAAAAGGAUGGGGUUCCUCUUGCUGCAGGAGAGAAGAGGGUGGAGAGGCAAUAAGUAAGCCACUGCCUUGGCUGGCUCUUCCUAGUGGCCAUGCAAACAAGUAAAAAAGAUCAUCAUUUGUUUACAGACUUCGUGAUGACUGCCAUAUACAAAGUUCUCAGUGGACUACUGGUAGACACCCAAAUCUAGUACCUUUUCCCCUUUCUUUAAGCAAAUGGGAGCUCUGCAUGCCUUUCUUUAUGAUUCCACCAUUUGGACUGGACUGGUUGAGCUCCUUGUGGACUGGCAUUCACCAUUUAACUCAUUCAGAGUUGCAAUGACCGGUAUCAGUUCUUAUGUGAUGAAAGCUGAAUCAUAAAAUGCCCUUCAACUCAACUUUUGACAGCAAUUUGCUUGUCUUGAUAGACAGAGUCAUCUAUGUAUCUUUACAUGGCCAACCUCCACACUGGGUGUCAGUUGGUGUUACUGCUGCUGGUGCCAUUGAACUUUGAACUCUUUGAGUGGCCCAUGGUGUGAGAGAAGCCAUGAGCUUGCUUCUGGUAUCUCUUCUCAUAAAGAAGACAUGAGCUUUAGUCACCUGCAAGACUCAUUCACCAUUGGCCUUUGGUCGAGCAACAAGAGGCUGAGGCAUAAGUCCCCAGGCAAAAGCCUACUAAUCCAUGUGCAUGGCUGAAAGGUUUGCUUUAAUGGGAAAAAGGUAUGUUGGCAUUUCAUACAGGAAUCUGUCGUGUUUUGGGAGUGUUCCAACACCACCUCCUAUUGGCCAUUCCACACCUGAAAGAGGGGGAAGACAACAUACAUGGAAAAGGAGGCAAUAAUGGAGAAUCUGACUUGUCUUGAAACAUGAAGAAAGAAUGGAGAUAAAAUAGAAAACUAGUGCUUCUAGACUUAGCACUACAUCAAGGCCAGCCAAUGAGACGAUAAGGGAUAUGCUUCAUCAUCGAAGUGGGAAUUGAUUGAUUUGAUCGAAGGAUCGGAAGAGGCAGAUUCCUCACUCAGUUUUUGAUGAGGAUGCCAGGAAGGAUUGCACAUCAUCAGUGGGAUGGACAGGUCAGAUGAUGGAAUGGCAUUCAGGUGAAGGGUGGAGUCUGACUACUGCACCAUUCCUCCAUGUCAACGCAUUCAUGCAUUCAUGUGGCGACUUUCUGCAUGCAAACUGCAUGCGUUUCCCGAAAAGUUACGUGAACUUUUUUAGGGCAUCCCCGAAGCAUCAUAAUGUCACUAAAAGCUUUGCAUUUGUGCUGCCACUCUUUAUGCCAGAUUGUAUGUGUAUAGGUGGGUGUCUCUUCACAGAGAUAUCACGAACAAAGAUCAUCAUAUAUUAUUAAUUAUCAGGUAAAUUAUUGUUGUCUCAUUUUUCUAUUAGCGUCAGUUCUGCUCAUGAGCGUAAAUUAUUGUUGUCUCAUCUUUCUUUUGGAAGAUGAAAAAUCCAAUGACCAAACUUUUUUUUAUUUUUUAUUUACUUUUAAAUGUAAGCGGUGAA